rnacentral:misc_RNA from 1 species
GUAGCAAUUCUCUCUGUGCUUUUAUGUUAAUGUGGCAAAUGAGUUUCAUAACCAAAUAAGUAGAGCCCACUUACUACACCAAUUUAAGAAUAUAAGAAGAUUUGUCAAAUCAACACAUAUGGAUGUUGUUUAGUAAUUUUGUUUUAAGUACUAGCGAUUUAUUACAGGCUUUUAAGUGUAAAAGACCAAACUUUAAGUCCCUAUUAAUAAAAUACCCAAACCUAAAGUAUACUUUUCCUUAAAUCCUUUUUAAUUUUUUAAUAUGAGAAAUUAUUGUCUAAACUAAGAAAUAAAUAACCUGUAACAUAAGCAUAUG